UUAGAGUUUGAUCCUGGCUCAGGAUGAACGCUGGCGGUGCGCCUAACACAUGCAAGUCGAACGAAGGAUUGUGAGGAAACGUAAGCAGAGACACAAUGACUGAGUGGCGGACGGGUGAGUAACGCGUAGGGAACCUGGCCCUUACAGGGGGAUAACAGAUGGAAACAACUGCUAAUACCGCAUAAGCGCACGGCCUCGCAUGAGGGAGUGUGAAAAACUACGGUGGUAAGGGAUGGCCCUGCGUCCGAUUAGCUAGUUGGUAUGGUAAAGGCAUACCAAGGCAAUGAUGCAUAGCCGAGUUGAGAGACUGAUCGGCCACAUUGGGACUGAGACACGGCCCAAACUCCUACGGGAGGCAGCAGUAGGGAAUCUUCCACAAUGGACGAAAGUCUGAUGGAGCAACGCCGCGUGAGUGAAGAAGGGUUUCGGCUCGUAAAGCUCUGUUGGUAGUGAAGAAAGAUAGAGGUAGUAACUGGCCUUUGUUUGACGGUAAUUACUUAGAAAGUCACGGCUAACUACGUGCCAGCAGCCGCGGUAAUACGUAGGUGGCAAGCGUUGUCCGGAUUUAUUGGGCGUAAAGCGAGUGCAGGCGGUUCAAUAAGUCUGAUGUGAAAGCCUUCGGCUCAACCGGAGAAUUGCAUCAGAAACUGUUGAACUUGAGUGCAGAAGAGGAGAGUGGAACUCCAUGUGUAGCGGUGGAAUGCGUAGAUAUAUGGAAGAACACCAGUGGCGAAGGCGGCUCUCUGGUCUGCAACUGACGCUGAGGCUCGAAAGCAUGGGUAGCGAACAGGAUUAGAUACCCUGGUAGUCCAUGCCGUAAACGAUGAGUGCUAAGUGUUGGGAGGUUUCCGCCUCUCAGUGCUGCAGCUAACGCAUUAAGCACUCCGCCUGGGGAGUACGACCGCAAGGUUGAAACUCAAAGGAAUUGACGGGGGCCCGCACAAGCGGUGGAGCAUGUGGUUUAAUUCGAAGCAACGCGAAGAACCUUACCAGGUCUUGACAUCCAGUGCAAACCUAAGAGAUUAGGUGUUCCCUUCGGGGACGCUGAGACAGGUGGUGCAUGGCUGUCGUCAGCUCGUGUCGUGAGAUGUUGGGUUAAGUCCCGCAACGAGCGCAACCCUUGUCAUUAGUUGCCAUCAUUAAGUUGGGCACUCUAAUGAGACUGCCGGUGACAAACCGGAGGAAGGUGGGGAUGACGUCAAGUCAUCAUGCCCCUUAUGACCUGGGCUACACACGUGCUACAAUGGACGGUACAACGAGAAGCGAACCUGCGAAGGCAAGCGGAUCUCUUAAAGCCGUUCUCAGUUCGGACUGUAGGCUGCAACUCGCCUACACGAAGCUGGAAUCGCUAGUAAUCGCGGAUCAGCACGCCGCGGUGAAUACGUUCCCGGGCCUUGCACUCACCGCCCGUCA
rnacentral:rRNA from 1 species